UACGUAGGGAGCAAGCGUUGUUCGGAUUUACUGGGCGUAAAGGGCGCGUAGGCGGCGUGUUAAGUCAGUUGUGAAAUCUCCAAGCUUAACUUGGAACGGUCAACUGAUACUGAUGUGCUAGAGUGCAGAAGGGGCAACCGGAAUUCUUGGUGUAGCGGUGAAAUGCGUAGAUAUCAAGAGGAACACCUGAGGUGAAGACGGGUUGCUGGGCUGACACUGACGCUGAGGCGCGAAAGCUAGGGUAGCAAACGGG
rnacentral:rRNA from 1 species